rnacentral:rRNA from 1 species
UGAGUACGAGACGCUAAGGCGUCGAAGUAGUGGAUGUCAUACUUCCAAGAAAAGCUUGCACUGUCAUAAAUAAAAACGCCUGUACCAUAACCGACACAGGUGGGUAGGUAGAGUAUACUAAGGGGCGCGAGAUAACUCUCUCUAAGGAACUCGGCAAAAUGACUCCGUAACUUCGGGAGAAGGAGUGCCUUAUUCGUAAGGCUGCAAUAACAAGAUCCAAGCAACUGUUUAUCAAAAACACAGGUCUCCGCUAAGUCGUAAGACGAUGUAUGGGGGCUGACGCCUGCCCAGUGCCAGAAGGUUAAAGAAGUCGGUUAGCAUUAGCGAAGCUGGUAACUGAAGCCCUGGUGAACGGCGGCCGUAACUAUAACGGUCCUAAGGUAGCGAAAUUCCUUGUCGGGUAAGCUCCGACCCGCACGAAAGGCGUAAUGAUUUGGAUACUGUCUCGGAGAGGGGCUCGGUGAAAUAGACUUGUCUGUGAAGAUGCGGACUACCUGCACCAGGACAGAAAGACCCUAUGAAGCUUUACUGUAACUUGAAAUUGAAAUUGGACUUUAUUCGCGCAGUAUAGGUGGGAGGUGUUGAUUAUAAUCUUGCGGGAUUAUUGGAGCCAUCAGUGAGAUACCACUCUUGUAAUGUUAGAUUUCUAACUUUGAAUCAUUAUCUGGUCAAAGAACAGAUUCAGGCGGGCAGUUUGACUGGGGCGGUCGCCUCCUAAAUGGUAACGGAGGCGUACAAAGGUUUCCUCUGAACGGGUAGAAAUCGUAUCUAGAGUGUAAAGGCAUAAGGAAGCUUGACUGUGAGACCUACAAGUCGAGCAGGGACGAAAGUCGGUCUUAGUGAUCUGACGGUACUGAGUGGAAAGGCCGUCACUCAACGGAUAAAAGUUACUCUAAGGAUAACAGGCUGAUCUCCCCCAAGAGUUCACAUCGACGGGGAGGUUUAGCACCUCGAUGUCGGCUCAUCGCAUCCUGGGGCGGUAGUACGUCCCAAGGGUUGGGCUGUUCGCCCAUGAAAGCGGUACGCGAGCUGGGUUCAGAACGUCGUGAGACAGUUCGGUCCAUAUCCGGUGUAGGCGUUAGAAUAUUGAGAGGAGCCUUCUUUAGUACGAGAGGACCGAGAAGGACAUACCUCUGGUGUACCAGUUAUCGUGCCAACGGUAAACGCUGGGUAGCUAUGUAUGGAGUGGAUAACCGCUGAAAGCAUCUAAGUGGGAAGCCCACCUCAAGAUAAG